UACAUAGGGGGCAAGCGUUAUCCGGAAUUAUUGGGUGUAAAGGGUGCGUAGACGGAAGAACAAGUUGGUUGUGAAAUCCCUCGGCUCAACUGAGGAACUGCAACCAAAACUAUUCUCCUUGAGUGUCGGAGAGGAAAGUGGAAUUCCUAGUGUAGCGGUGAAAUGCGUAGAUAUUAGGAGGAACACCAGUGGCGAAGGCGACUUUCUGGACGAUAACUGACGUUGAGGCACGAAAGUGUGGGGAGCAAACAGG
rnacentral:rRNA from 1 species